rnacentral:misc_RNA from 1 species
ACUCGUCAUCGAUUCUUAUUUUCGAUCAAAUCAAUCGAUCAGAAACUCAUCAUUCCAACUACCGGAUCGGAGUGAUAACGUUCGCGAUCGAAGACUGUGACGUAAUUAGCGAAAAUUCGAACAUCAAAUUCUUUCUAUAAAUAAAAAAGCAUGUUCAGAUGUUCUGGUAGUUUUAUUUGAUCGUUUUGGUGCCGUUCUGUCAAAAUCUUGGUAGGUUUUUUUUUCUGCUUAGCUUUUAUUGCUUUGGUAAAUCGCCAAGUUAUAAGCAGCCAGUUUCUACGGUUUGGUGAAGUUUCAAAUGCCGUUUGUAUGUCAUAAUUAUCAGACUUGAAUUAGCUGACAUGUUGCACGUAUACAUCCAAAUCUUGGGACAAAAAUAAGUUUAUUGCGUUACCGUUUCCCGAUACAGCAACCAAGCCACGGCUACCGUAUGUCAAACGCGAUCGGAAUCGAUAAAUAAUAGAAUCGACCUGAAAACGUUUUUCUUUUUAUUUUCGUCACCUUUUUUCUUCCACCGGUGACAACGAUAUCGACGAUCGUCAUUCGCGAGGCGGCAUCGAUUCUGGACCGAUAAAACGAUCUUGGCCUAGUAUCGGUAACUCAUGACUCAGAUAUGCUCUGUAAAAAAUUGAUCGUGACCUUUAACUUUCACUGUCAAGUUAUGGUCACCCUGUAUCAUGCAAUUAGGGGCCCGGGGAUUAUGUUCAGAGUAACCUAAUAUCGCUAAUUAAGCUUUUUAUUACCGCAUCAUUUUUUUCAAUUUCAUAAUCAAACAACCCGAACAGCGCGCGGUUGUACAAACAUUAUCAGCAGAGUAAACAUAUAUUGUGUCAGUAGAUGUAAUGUUCGAUGUAUUUACGAAUUGAAAUUUUAUUACACGCUAAAAUGAUGAGCAUUUUGACACAUAUCUGAACGGGAUGGGUUAGCUUAUGUGUAAUGGUUGUAUAUACGUGAAAACUCUUGCUGUACACAAUGGAAAACAUAUGUGUUUAUCAUCAUUGAUGUAUACGACAAAUGUAUGUACGAAUGUUCUGCGCAUCAUGUGCGCGAUGUUCAGCUCUGCGUGACCUUCUCGCGGCAACGGUUUUCAAAUUGCGAUCCUCCACAUCCCUCUGCUAUCGCACAUCCCGAUUACGGCUCAUAAUGGAUGAAUCUUUUGUCUCGACAAUUCUCAUUUGAAUGACUGGGAUUUUUUUUCUAAAACCUACACCGGAGAAAUGAGAAUCGUUAAUUGUUAUCCGAAUGUAGCGACAGAUAUUCCGGCUAGAGAGAUAGGUGUUGCAAAAUUAUUUCGUGCGUGAGAAUGAAAGAAUCUCGCUUCUUAUAUCGGCAUCACGCGGUACACGUGCGCCAGACUUUCCUCCGUCGUGAGUCACUUACAGCUUAUCAUUGUUGCUUAAAUGCAGAAACAUGUGUGCAUAUAAAAUCGACAUCAGCAUAAUACGAGACGCAUAUGUACACAAUCAUAAUAAUCAGGAGUGAUGCACACGUGUGAAGGUUGUUCAUAGGAUCAUCCGCGAUCUGAAGAAUGGUUUUACGGCCAAAAACUGCGCAUUUAUUGUCUGAGCGGAUGGAUAAACAACUUUUUUUCCUCCAUGUCUAUUGAGGUGGUGCGCAGUGGUCGUGUUCGAUAUUCUGAACAUUUCCAUUUAAAUGUUACCAGUUUGUUCGACGACUCAUGUAUUUGGAUUCUGAAGACAAAUUCUCGAUACCUACCAUCGAUCGAGGGAGAUUGAAAAGUGAUAUCUCUUGUGUAUUUAUAUACAAUGGGAAAUCAUCUUUGUCAAAGACAGUCCGACUCGAACGUCCAGCCAAACAACUUCGAUUUUACUCCGGCUACAUUGCUUUCGAAUUUUGUUUGAAACGGUAAAUGCUUUAGCGAAAUUUUCAUGAAAUAUUAGAAUCACAUUCUUACCGGAUUGAAACUGACAGACAUUUUUUGAAAAGAUCAUUUUCGUACAGCGGAAAGAAAAAAAAAAGUUGCGGAAAAUUUUUGUUGAAAUACUUAUAGUUGUGAAAAUGUCAGGGCUGAACUCAGGACCUUAUGAGGAAGGAACAGAAAAAAAAAUCUAACGCCCAUUCAUCGUAAAUACGUUCUUCACCCAACGUCGACGUUAUGGAGAGCGACGACAAUUGGUUAACAAGUGACGUCUUCAAGGGAAACUUCCACAAUGAUUAUAUACUUGGUGAAAUGAUCGGAAGGGGUUCGGUGUCGAUUGUGUAUACCUGUUUGCACAAAGGAAGAAAAAAGUAUGCCUGCAAAAUGGUACCAAAGGAUCGAUUGAACAAAUCAGAAGUCCGGACGAGGGUUGAAACCUUGCUGAAACUUCGUCAUAACAAUAUCAUAUCUGCAAAAAAGGUUUAUAAUGAGAAUCGCCAUCUAUUCGUUAUAAUGGACCUCGCGUAUGGCGGAGAGUUGCUAGAGAGGCUCGCAAUGAGGGGAGGACAUUCAGAAAAAGACGCUGCUGAGGCCGUUCGAGAUGCGCUCGCUGGAUUGAACUACCUCCACGGGAUGGGAUUAUGGCAUGGCAGUGUACGUCCUGAAAAAUUAAUCUAUGCAACGGAGGAUGAAAACUCCAGACUUCUCCUUGGAGAUAGAGGAAUUGCCGCGAAUCCCCUGAACAGCUAUAACGCGUUGUACUGCGCACCAGAAGUAUUGGACGGGGAAUUACCGACUACUGCAGCUGACAUGUGGUCCCUGGGAGUCGUUAUUUACAUUAUGCUGUGUGGAUUCGAACCUUUCCGAGGUACAAAGGAGACGGAAUUUCCAUCACCGUACUGGGAUGACAAGACGACAGAUUCGAAGCUGUUGAUAAUGCGACUUAUGCAGCAAAAACCGAAGGACAGACCGACGACACGCGACCUUCUUUUGGAUCCAUGGGUGCUAGGGAAGAAAUCUAGUGAGCGGCCGAUGCCCAUUACCGCUAAACAUCUACGCGAAUUUAAUGCUAGGAGAAAAUUCAAAGCUGCCACACUUGCUGUGAGAGCUACGCGUCGAGCGAUGGCGUUUUCCAAUUACCAUGAAGAAUUGAUUUGACUGCCGGAGUUUACUCACGAAGUUCUUAGCGUCGAUAGAAAUGUUGUUGGGUGCAGGUGUCGAUAAGUCACCGUCUGUCGGAAAAAAUCCAGGAGAGAAACCAGCAGUCGACAAAGCAAUUCGCCCUUGCAUUCGGAACACAAGAUUUUUUUAAUCAUCCAUGAAGCUCAUUGCUCUAUACGUUAAGUGAUGAAUUCCAUGUGAAGAAGACAUACUAUCUCUGUAUAUUGAGGACUCUUAGAAAUUUUUACUGUCAUGUUCUAUAAUUAAUUAGAUUAUAAGUAUUGUCGAUGAUUCUUUAGCGCGUGAUUGAAUGUAACAGUUGACGUCAAAAUAAUAGAUCUACGAUAUGUAUCAUAAUUUGCUUGCAUGUAUUUUACUGUCUUCACUUAGCGAUAGAUAUUUUUGACUAUCCAAAUAUUGAUUCUCCAAUUAUUAUUCACUUCACUCCUGCUUGUAUCAUUCACUGACAUCAAUCAUUGUAGAAAAAUAAA